rnacentral:rRNA from 1 species
AUUGAACGCUGGCGGCAGGCCUAACACAUGCAAGUCGAGCGGCAGCGGGUCCUUCGGGAUGCCGGCGAGCGGCGGACGGGUGAGUAAUGCCUAGGAAUCUGCCUGGUAGUGGGGGAUAACGUUCGGAAACGGACGCUAAUACCGCAUACGUCCUACGGGAGAAAGGGGGGGAUCUUCGGACCUCACGCUAUCAGAUGAGCCUAGGUCGGAUUAGCUAGUUGGUGGGGUAAAGGCUCACCAAGGCGACGAUCCGUAACUGGUCUGAGAGGAUGAUCAGUCACACUGGAACUGAGACACGGUCCAGACUCCUACGGGAGGCAGCAGUGGGGAAUAUUGGACAAUGGGCGAAAGCCUGAUCCAGCCAUGCCGCGUGUGUGAAGAAGGUCUUCGGAUUGUAAAGCACUUUAAGUUGGGAGGAAGGGCAGUCAGUUAAUACCUGGUUGUUUUGACGUUACCAACAGGAUAAGCACCGGCUAACUUCGUGCCAGCAGCCGCAGUAAAAC